rnacentral:rRNA from 1 species
UACGAAGGGGGCUAGCGUUGUUCGGAUUUACUGGGCGUAAAGCGCACGUAGGCGGAUUGUUAAGUCAGGGGUGAAAUCCUGGGGCUCAACCCCAGAACUGCCUUUGAUACUGGCGAUCUCGAGUCCGGAAGAGGUGAGUGGAACUCCUAGUGUAGAGGUGGAAUUCGUAGAUAUUAGGAAGAACACCAGUGGCGAAGGCGGCUCACUGGUCCGGUACUGACGCUGAGGUGCGAAAGCGUGGGGAGCAAACGGG